GUGGCUAUAACUCAGUUGGUAGAGUGCUUGCCUUGCAUGCACAAGACCCUGGGUUCAAUCCCCAGCACCACA
rnacentral:tRNA from 1 species